rnacentral:rRNA from 1 species
GAUGAACGCUGGCGGCGUGCCUAAUACAUGCAAGUCGAGCGAACGGACGAGAAGCUUGCUUCUCUGAUGUUAGCGGCGGACGGGUGAGUAACACGUGGAUAACCUACCUAUAAGACUGGGAUAUCUUCGGGAAACCGGAGCUAAUACCGGAUAAUAUUUUGAACCGCAUGGUUCAAAAGUGAAAGACGGUCUUGCUGUCACUUAUAGAUGGAUCCGUGCUGCAUUAGCUAGUUGGUAAGGUAACGGCUUACCAAGGCGACAAUGCAUAGCCGACCUGAGAAGGUGUAGGGCGCCAGUGAGAGUGGACCGCGGUCCAGGCUCCGACGGAAGGCAGAGACAGGGAAGCGACGGAGAUGGGGGGAAGCCUGACGGAGCAGCGCCACGUGAGUGAUGAGGGGCUGCGGGGCGGAUGACUCUGUUAUUGGUGUAAAACAUAUUUGUAAGUAACGAAGCACAUCGUGACGGUACCUAGUCAGAAAGCCACGGCUAACUACGUG